GCAUGUAAGGGGGAACUGUUUGUCAUCGCUCACUCUUGGUCACCACAACAUUCAGCUUACCUAUCUGGGUAGGCUUCCCUUUCUUCAUUGCUGCAUAUGCAACUCCUCCAAACGGGAAGAGAAUGGCCUUCCCCAAUAGAGGAGAGUCUUUUCCAGGGUGUAAGUGUGUGUGUGUGUGUGUGUGUGUGUGUGUGUGUGUGUGUGUGUGUGUAUGAGCAGCUACAUUCUGCUGCUGGAAAGUCUUGUCAGUCUUUCAGGAGGGGAGACCGUAGGGUAGUCAAGCUUCUAAAACUGUGGGCCCAUCCAAAUAAGAUGCUUCAUGUGUGGUGGUGGUCAGCCUUUGUUU
rnacentral:snRNA from 1 species